CCCAUUGAUUGAUGGUGCUUGCACCUGAUUGAUUUUGGUUGCCAACGAGUGGCGGACGGGUGAGUAACACGUAGGUAACCUGCCCAGAAGCGGGGGACAACAUUUGGAAACAGAUGCUAAUACCGCAUAACAGCGUUGUUCGCAUGAACAACGCUUAAAAGAUGGCUUCUCGCUAUCACUUCUGGAUGGACCUGCGGUGCAUUAGCUUGUUGGUGGGGUAACGGCCUACCAAGGCGAUGAUGCAUAGCCGAGUUGAGAGACUGAUCGGCCACAAUGGGACUGAGACACGGCCCAUACUCCUACGGGAGGCAGCAGUAGGGAAUCUUCCACAAUGGGCGCAAGCCUGAUGGAGCAACACCGCGUGAGUGAAGAAGGGUUUCGGCUCGUAAAGCUCUGUUGUUAAAGAAGAACACGUAUGAGAGUAACUGUUCAUACGUUGACGGUAUUUAACCAGAAAGUCACGGCUAACUACGUGCCAGCAGCCGCGGUAAUACGUAGGUGGCAAGCGUUAUCCGGAUUUAUUGGGCGUAAAGAGAGUGCAGGCGGUUUUCUAAGUCUGAUGUGAAAGCCUUCGGCUUAACCGGAGAAGUGCAUCGGAAACUGGAUAACUUGAGUGCAGAAGAGGGUAGUGGAACUCCAUGUGUAGCGGUGGAAUGCGUAGAUAUAUGGAAGAACACCAGUGGCGAAGGCGGCUACCUGGUCUGCAACUGACGCUGAGACUCGAAAGCAUGGGUAGCGAACAGGAUUAGAUACCCUGGUAGUCCAUGCCGUANACGAUGAGUGCUAGGUGUUGGAGGGUUUCCGCCCUUCAGUGCCGGAGCUAACGCAUUAAGCACUCCGCCUGGGGAGUACGAC
rnacentral:rRNA from 1 species